rnacentral:rRNA from 1 species
UACGAAGGGGGCUAGCGUUGCUCGGAAUCACUGGGCGUAAAGGGUGCGUAGGCGGGUCUUUAAGUCAGGGGGGAAAUCCUGGAGCUCAACUCCAGAACUGCCUUUGAUACUGAGGAUCUUGAGUUCGGGAGAAGUGAGUGGAACUGCGAGUGUAGAGGUGAAAUUCGUAGAUAUUCGCAAGAACACCAGUGGCGAAGGCGGCUCACUGGCCCGAUACUGACGCUGAGGCACGAAAGCGUGGGGAGCAAACAGG